rnacentral:lncRNA from 1 species
CAUUUUGUUUGAAAAGAGGCGGAUUUUUCUUUUUCUCUCUUUGCAAUGGUAUGUAUCUCUCUAAGAUGGAAUCUUUUGUUUAUAAAGUGGGAUUGAAGAUGGAAAAAACUAUCAACAUAAGGAGGGACGGAGGGAUGGACGGUUGAGCAGGAUUUCCUAUGGAGGGAGUGGUAGAGAGAGAAAGCUACAGUCUAGAAUCUGAAUCGAACAGGGAGAAGAGCGAAAGACAGAGAGGAUCUCUUGUUUCUAGAUCCAUCGGAAUUC